rnacentral:tRNA from 1 species
ACCAGGGAUGUAGGUCAAUGGUAGAAUGCUUACCUCACAUGAGCAAGACCCUGGGUUCAAUCCCCAGCACUGGAA